AAGGAUUUAAGUUAAAUAAACUAUUAACCUUCAAAGUUGACAAUGAGGAAAAAAUUUCUUAAGCCUUA
rnacentral:tRNA from 1 species